GCAUCGCUAUAAGCUCUCUGGUAACGGGAUGAAGUGCAAAUAGCAAAGAGAACCAAAGAUGCAGAUCUUCGUGAAAACCUUAACAGGGAAGACCAUAACCCUAGAGGUCGAAUCGAGUGACACCAUUGACAAUGUCAAGGCUAAGAUUCAGGAUAAGGAAGGGAUUCCACCGGACCAGCAACGUCUGAUAUUUGCUGGUAAACAGCUUGAAGAUGGCCGUACGCUUGCAGAUUAUAAUAUCCAAAAAGAGUCCACUUUGCAUCUUGUGCUGAGGCUUCGAGGUGGGAUUAUUGAACCGUCUCUUAUGGCUUUGGCCCGGAAGUACAACCAGGAUAAGAUGAUCUGCCGCAAGUGCUAUGCGCGUUUGCAUCCUCGUGCUGUCAACUGCAGGAAAAAGAAGUGUGGCCAUAGCAACCAGUUGAGGCCAAAGAAGAAGAUCAAGUAAACAGUAUCUAAGCGUAUUCUCACAAUGUUUGAGAAUACACCCCGCUAGUUGAUUACUAGAGGUUUAGCCAAAAAUAUGGCAUUGGGGAAGAGAACAAAAUCUCGACAUGACAAUUUCGAAGAAACCCAAGUCGAGAAAUCAUUGAAGGAAACAAGACUUCCCAUUGCAAAAAAGAGGAAAAAAUAUAUUUUUGAAGCUUCAUUUGUCAAGGGGAAGGAGGUUGAAGCAAGUAAAAGCUCGGAUACACUGGAAGAAAAGGGAAUUAAGCUGUUUGUGAAAAAAAAGCCUAUAUUUGCACCGCAUAUCAGUGUAUAUACUAACACUGACAUAGUCUCCGAGCGAAAAGAAAAUCUUACUCCAGAGCAGAACAAACAACUGGGCAAUACUUGUUUUGAAAAUUUUCCUUCAAAUGAAUCGUUGUGAAGUCCAACAACAACUCUUCAGAUACUUCAUGGCUCUCCAGUUAGAAGGAAGUCCUGACAAUGUAUUUGCAAUACACGUCAAUGGUACUUCAUUAUCUUUUUCAAUAAGGAAGUUUGCGCUUGUGACUGGCCUUAAAUAUGUUGGUAAUCCUGCUGAUUUUGAGUUCAAUGAAAAGGUUCCUAACCGAAUUAUUGACUUACAUUGGAGGUGCCAAUCUUGUCAAAAAGAAAGAUUUGAUGGAAUGCUUUGCUGACAAGAAUUGGGGUCACGACAAUGAUGUGGAUGCCUUAAAGAUAGCUGUGUUGUAUUUAAUACACACUUUUAUUUUUUCAUCCGAGAAGAACAACACAACCAUCCGAAAGCUACAUUUUUACUUGGUCAAGAGUGGGCACUAUUCUGAAUAUCCAUGGGGUAUAAAAGCAUUUGAAAGCCUGACAAAAUCUAUUAGCAAGAAGAUGGAUGCUCAGAAGAAGUACUACAUGAUAGAUGGGAUGCCUCUAGCUAUGCAAGUGUGGUUUUAUGAGUGCUGUUCAAAAGUUGAUCCCAAAAUUGCACUCUGAGUUGAUAACGUGGUCCCAGAAUACUCAAUUGGAGAUCCACUGGUAAUCAGCCAAACUUUGCUUAUCUGAUGAACGACAUAUCAAUGACAAGGGAAAUAUGAUUGUUUACAAGGACAUCCACCCAACCGAUAUAGAGCUUGCCGUUAUUCAGAUUCCUCCAGUAGGCGUUGCUGUUGAGAACGGUCCUACUCCUACUCAUUCAGACAAGUCGGCGGAGGAAUCAGAUGAUUUUUCUCCUAUACCUGAUCUUUAGUGUAAGAAGAAACAUGUUGCAAGUGUUUGUCCAUCUUCAUCAUCGCCCCAUAAAAAACGCAAGGAACAGAUUAUUCAUCCCUCAAAUACAGAGAAUCGAUCCAAGAUUCCUCCUGUUGGUGUAUCUGAAAUUGCACAAAUGUUUUGCAUCACAAUCAGCUGGCAGAUUCCAAAAAUGAUGAAGUAUCUUCUUUGAGGAAAGAUCUAAAUUCAUUCAAAGAAUACGUGAGUUUUUUAUCCACACAUUAAACAUUACAGUUUAGUGCUUAACAUUCGUAAAUUUUUGGCGCACUUUUCUAGUUAUUUCUUUCUUGCUAAGUUUGUGGGCGAGUUCAAGUCUCUGAGAUCAUUGAUCAAUGAUAACUUUAAGAUGCUUUCUGACCAUCUUCAAGACAAUCAACAAAAAAAAAGCUUACACCAGAGAAAGGAAACCAUAGGGAGACGUGAUGAUGGUAUUGAAAUGCCAUAUGGUGCCAACUUGCAAGAUAUUUAGAAAGGUCACAGACAGACUGAUAUAGUUGUCGGCGAUAAUGUUGAGAAUACAGUGGUUAAUGCUCUUUGUGUGGAGUGAAGAGUGGAGGGGAAUACUACAUCAGAGGUGCCGUGCAACAUACCACCUAUAGGCCAAGAGGGUGUAUCUACAAAUUACUAUGUAUCUCAAUUUGAGCUGGACGACAAGUUUCUUCCCAGUCAAAUUCCAGAAACUAGAAUUGUGAUACACAACAGUGCAAAAAAAGUUGAAUCAACCCAAGUACCAUCUCAUAUGAAUCGGCGACCAAGUAGAUGGUAUUCUUCGCCUUACGAGUCUAACUUCGACUCCGCAGGUACCUCAGUAUAGUUGACCCCCAUUUUUGGAAAAAGACACCCCUUUGAGGAUGAUUCAAUAACGGGGACACAUCCUACAUUAAUCAUUCAGGAAUACGUCAAAUGGGUUCGUGAUGGUCUUCUCGCUAAACAUGAACAGAAGUGACUUUUUUCCCGGUAUGUCUAUUACAUAUUUAUAUUUUAAAAAAAGGAUAUAAUAUUUUUUUAUAUCAUACUUGUAGAAGUAAUUUGGAAGACCAUUACAAGAAGAACAAGUCAACACUUCAUAUACCAUUGGAUUUUGGAGUUGAUCAAGUCAAUUCAAAAAAUUGAUUUUACCUUCUAAUGUUUGACGGUAAACUAUGGGAUGACAAUGUAAGUUUUACCCCUUCUUACUCCACUAUAAUUCAUUUCUUUUGUAUUGGUUUGUCUAAUUGUAUAAUUCACAAAUUGAGCUCUCACACAAAUUUGUCUUACAUUAUUUUUAUGUAUUCAAUUGUACUCAGAUGUAUCUUUUACAUCUGCUGUAUUUAAUUAUUCAGUUGUAUUUUAACAUUACUCAGUAGUUGUAAAUAACAGAUGUUUUUAGCUGAAUCUGUAUAGUGUAUUUAAUGGCAUCAUUAUUCUUGAAUAGCUGCUGUAUUUUACUGUAUUCAGAUGUAUUUUAAAAGUUCUCAGUAGUUGUAACUAACAGAUGUAUUUCAGUACUAUGUAUUUAAUUGCCUCAUUAGUCUUGAAUAACAACAUGUAUUUAAAUAUAUUUAGAUGUAUUUUAAUAUUACUAGGUAGUUGUAAAUAACAGAUGUAUUUAACUGAAUCUGUAUGCUGUAUUUAAGUGUAUUCAGAUGUAUUCUUGAAUAACUGCUGUAUUUAAGUGUAUUCAGAAUAAUGAGGCCAUUAAAUACAUCAUACAGAUUCAGUUAAAUACAUUUGUUAUUUACAACUACCUAGUAAUAUUAAAAUACAUCUAAAUAUAUUUAAAUACAUGUUGUUAUUCAAGACUAAUGAGGCAAUUAAAUACAUAGUACUGAAAUACAUAUGUUAGUUACAACUACUGAGAACUUUUAAAAUACAUCUGAAUGCAGUAAAAUACAGCAGUUAUUCAAGAAUAAUGAUACCAUUAAAUACACCAUACAGAUUCAGCUAAAAACAUCUGUUAUUUACAACUACUGAGUAAUGUUAAAAUACAACUGAAUACAAUUAAAUACAGCAGAUGUAAAAGAUACAUCUGAGUACAAUUGAAUACAUAAAAAUAAUGUAAGACAAAUUUGUGUGAGAGCUCAAUUUGUGAAUUAUACAAUUAGACAAACCAAUACUAAAGAAAUGAAUUAUAGUGGAGUAGGAAGGGGUGAAACUUACAUUGUCAUCCCAUAGUUUUUAACGUCAAACGAUAGAUGGUAAAAUCAAUUUUUUGAAUUGACUUGAUCAACUCCAAAAUUCAAUGGUAUAUGAAGUGUUGACUUGUUCUUCUUGUAAUGGUCUUCCAAAUUACUUCUACAAGUAUGAUAUAAAAAAAUAUUAUAUCCAUUUUUUAAAAUAUAAAUAUGUAAUAGACAUACCGGGGAAAAAGUCACUUCUGUUCAUGUUUAGCGAGAAGACCAUCACGAACCCAUUUGUCGUAUUUCUGAAUGAUUAAUGUAGGAUGUGUCCCCGUUAUUGAAUCAUCCUCAAAGGAGUGUCUUUUUCCAAAAAUGGGGGUCAACUAUACUGAGGUACCUGUUGUUCAUUGAAUUCAUGAAUAAAGACUUUUAAUUAUAAAAACCACGGGGAAAUAGAUCAUUAGUUUAUAAAACACUAACCUGCGGAGUCGAAGUUAGACUCGUAAGGCGAAGAAUACCAUCUACUUGGUCGCCGAUUCCUAUGAGAUGGUACUGGGGUUGAUUCAACUUUUUUUGCACUGUUAUGUGUCACAAUUCUAGUUUCUGAAAUUUGACUGGGAAGAAACUUGUCGUCCAGCUCAAAUUGAGAUACAUAGUAAUCUGUAGAUACACCCUCUUGGCCUAUAGGUGGUAUGUUGCACGACACAUCUGAUGUAGUAUUCCCCUCCACUCUUGACUCCACACAAAGAGCAUUAACCGCUGUAUUCUGUUAGACGUAUGCAUCAAUGUUGGUGUAGUAACUAACUGUAUGAAUACAGUUAAAUACAUAUAAAUAUAAUACAUAUUUGAUCUUGAAUUUGUA